rnacentral:piRNA from 1 species
UCCACAGACACAUGCACACGCCCGCCAUAAU